GUAGGUGGCAAGCGUUAUCCGGAGUUAUUGGGCGUAAAGCGCGCGCAGGCGGUUUCUUAAGUCUGAUGUGAAAGCCCACGGCUCAACCGUGGAGGGUCAUUGGAAACUGGGGAACUUGAGUGCAGAAGAGAAAAGCGGAAUUCCACGUGUAGCGGUGAAAUGCGUAGAGAUGUGGAGGAACACCAGUGGCGAAGGCGGCUUUUUGGUCUGUAACUGACGCUGAGGCGCGAAAGCGUGGGGAGCAAACAGGGAUUAGAUACCCUGGUAGUCCACGCCGUAAACGAUGAGUGCUAAGUGUUAGAGGGUUUCCGCCCCUUUAGUGCUGCAGCUAACGCAUUAAGCACUCCGCCUGGGGAGUACGGUCGCAAGACUG
rnacentral:rRNA from 1 species